rnacentral:tRNA from 1 species
GCCGGCUUAGCCCAACGGCAGAGGCAACGGAUUCAAAAUCCGUACAGUAGGGGUUCGACUUCGCCGGCA